rnacentral:rRNA from 1 species
GCAAGUUGAACGCCCUGCAUUUAUGUAGGGAGUGGUGAACGGGGUAGUAACAGGUAGGAACGUGCCCGGAAGUCGGGGAAAACAUAGAGAAAUUUAUGCUAAUCCCCGAUAGUCUCGUAAGAGUAAAGUUUUAACGCUUCCGGAUCGGCCUGCUUCGUAUCAGCUUGUUGGUAAGGUAAUGGCUUACCAAGGCAAUGACGCGUAGGGGAGGUGAGAGCCUGACC